GCUCUACACAUUCAGGCUAUUCUGGGAAGAAACCUUGUGUUGCUACACAGACACAGAAGACCAGGCAGGGUCCCCUGGAAGAACGGGCACUCACUUACAGCUUCCGAUCUAUCAGGGUGAAGGCUGGAAGCUCUCAUGGUCUUCCAGACCUGCCACUGCUUUUGCCAUGAUAUGCUCACCAAGGCUCAUGUAUCUGACACUUGCUCUUAAGCACGGUGGUUUGAGGUCCUCCGGAGGUGGAAGUCUGAAUAAGACCAGGUCCUCUCUACCUCUUGGCUUCCUGCCUCACCAUGGCAACUCUUCCUCUCAUUUGCAGUUUCAUCAUUGGGUGACACAAAGGACCUUCAUGAGACACUAUGUCCCUUGAUACCCCAGACUAUGAGCUAAAUAAACCUCUUUUCUUUAUAAUGU
rnacentral:lncRNA from 1 species